UACGAGUGCCUCAAGCGUUAUCCGGAAUCAUUGGGCGUAAAGGUUGUGUAGGUGGUUGUAUUAGUCUUCUGUUAAAUUCUUCGGCUUAACCGGGGGCAUGCAGAGGAAACGGUACAACUAGAGGAUGCGAGGGGUCUGCGGAACUCAUAGUGUAGCGGUAAAAUGCGUUGAUAUUAUGGGGAACACCAAAAGCGAAGGCAGCAGACUGGAGCACUCCUGACACUGAAACAAGAAAAGCGUGGGUCGCGAAAUGGG
rnacentral:rRNA from 1 species